rnacentral:rRNA from 1 species
GACGAACGCUGGCGGCGUGCUUAACACAUGCAAGUCGAACGGAAAGGCCCUGCUUGCAGGGUACUCGAGUGGCGAACGGGUGAGUAACACGUGGGUGAUCUGCCCUGCACUUCGGGAUAAGCCUGGGAAACUGGGUCUAAUACCGGAUAGGAGCCAUUUUUAGUGUGAUGGUUGGAAAGUUUUUUCGGUGUAGGAUGAGCUCGCGGCCUAUCAGCUUGUUGGUGGGGUAAUGGCCUACCAAGGCGGCGACGGGUAGCCGGCCUGAGAGGGUGGGCGGCCACAUUGGGACUGAGAUACGGCCCAGACUCCUACGGGAGGCAGCAGUGGGGAAUAUUGCACAAUGGGCGCAAGCCUGAUGCAGCGACGCCGCGUGGGGGAUGACGGCCUUCGGGUUGUAAACUCCUUUCGCUAGGGACGAAGCUUUUUGUGACGGUACCUAGAUAAGAAGCACCGGCUAACUACGUG